CACAGACCUAUAUACCCCGCCUGCAAACCUGACGGAAAGGCCCACACACCACACCAGAGAGAUGUGGAGGGACGGAGCAUUCAUCAUAGACAGCAUUGGAGCCCCCGUCCCGGAACCCUGAGCAUGCCUGCAGGUUAUCAGUGGAUGCCUCACCUUAGAAAAGUCCCGUAAAACUGAGGAAGAUUGUGGGAGGUAUCCUUGGGGGUCAUCUAGACCAGCACUCCAGCCUGCCCCAAAUCUACAGAUCAAAAAAGCAAAGUCCAGAGAAGUAACGUCUCAAGGUCACAUAAGUCAGUCCCUAUCAACAACAGCACUAAAAUCAAGGCUUCCUAAAACCAGUCGGAUCAU
rnacentral:lncRNA from 10 species